rnacentral:tRNA from 1 species
GGGGCUAUAGCUCAGCUGGGAGAGCGUCUGCUUUGCACGCAGGAGGUCUGCGGUUCGAUCCCGCAUAGCUCCACCA